rnacentral:rRNA from 1 species
GACGAACGCUGGCGGCGUGCCUAAUACAUGCAAGUUGAGCGCUGAAGGUUGGUACUUGUACCAACUGGACGAGCAGCGAACGGGUGAGUAACGCGUGGGGAAUCUGCCUUUGAGCGGGGGACAACAUUUGGAAACGAAUGCUAAUACCGCAUAAAAACUUUAAACACAAGUUUUAAGUUUGAAAGAUGCAAUUGCAUCACUCAAAGAUGAUCCCGCGUUGUAUUAGCUAGUUGGUGAGGUAAAGGCUCACCAAGGCGAUGAUACAUAGCCGACCUGAGAGGGUGAUCGGCCACAUUGGGACUGAGACACGGCCCAAACUCCUACGGGAGGCAGCAGUAGGGAAUCUUCGGCAAUGGACGAAAGUCUGACCGAGCAACGCCGCGUGAGUGAAGAAGGUUUUCGGAUCGUAAAACUCUGUUGGUAGAGAAGAACGUUGGUGAGAGUGGAAAGCUCAUCAAGUGACGGUAACUACCCAGAAAGGGACGGCUAACUACGUG